CUCUUGCUGCUCUAGCAUGAAGUUCUCACAUCCUGCUUCCUCUGGUCUGUAAAAGUCCAGCCCUGAGCAGGAAGGGAAUGUGUGCUGAACCACAGUCCUCCAUGCGAACCCGGAGGCUUAACACCCAGACCGCCACAAGCAUCGAAGCACCCCCGCCGCUGAGACCCACGGACCAGCUCUGCUGUGCUUAGAGAUAAGCUCUCACCAGAUUUGUGUUCACAUGUAGUCUGACAAUGCUCGUCAAUCCUCUUGAAAGAAAGCCAAGGUUGCAAUGUUUUAAACACAUUUUGCGCCUUGCAACAUAUUUAAAGUAGAUUGGUGUCAUAAAUUUGGAUCAAAUAGGUACCACAUGGGUACACAACCAUGCUUACAGUGUCCAGGCAGCGGGGCUGGCCCUGAGUGGGGCUGGGGCAGCACGGGGCCUGUGGCCACACUAGGCUUCAAUUCUGAGGAGCUGGUGGAGAAGCCCACCCUGCCGGCCGGGCUGGCCUCUGGGAGGCUGUCAGCCCAGAGCUCUGCCUGGCAGACCUGAAGUGCCUCGCUACAGACACAGCCGCAGCAGUCCAGCUGGACCCCUGAUUUGCCCAAGGCCCUGCCCCCCUCAGCCUCCCGCUCCCCCAAACGGAGACAUGACCCCUGCCCAUCCACCUUCACAAGCAUUAUGAGGCUCGUGCUGGUGCCCUUCAGCGUUGCCUGCCCGUCCCCUGCAGGGAACUCUCCCACCCGCUCAGCGUGUCACCCAGGG